AAAUAGAUAAAAUUAGUAAAAAAAUAGAAAUUUUAUAAGAAUUUAUAUAAGUAAAAAUUUUUACCUUAAUUUUAUUUCUUGAGUUUCUGGAAUAGGUGGAUUAAGCACAAUUUUACUUGCAAAACUCGUUGCUAAAUAAAUUGAUCAUGAUAAAUAAAUUUAAAAUACUGCAAAAAGAAUAAAAUAUUAAAAAAUAUAUUUACCCUAAUUAUCGAUAUUAACGUGCACUGCUAUUAAUACAACAACUGAAUUUUUACAAUAGCGUCUGUGUUAGCACCAUCUUGUUCCAUAUGAUCAAUCUAAUCUGAUUCAUACUUCAAAUCCAUCCAAAUAAUAAGUUAUUAAUAAUUUUUUUCCAUAUAAAAUGAUAAAGAUGGAAACCCUUUAUUGUUUUAUCCAUUAUGACAACUUCACAUUUAAAACGAUUACACCAUGACUUCGUACAAAUAGAGAGUGAUUGACUUGGACAACUAUUUCUACAACAUUUGAAAAAAACUGAAGUAGUAUAGGUGGCGAAGGUAGCGUACGUAGACGAUAAUGGGCCGGCGCCGGUGACGACGAUGACGAUGAGGAGGACGAUGACGAUGUGCAAGUGCCGACGGAAAGAAAUAUAGAUGAAAAUAAAAAAUGAUAUUUUUAAAAAAAUAUAUGCUUUAUAUUUAAGAAAAUAUAUAGGUAAAAAUAAAAAAAUACUAAAAAAAUGCUAAAAUUGUAUAAAGAUACAUUAAAAAAAAUUUCAAGUGGAAUUCAAAUACCUCUCCAACCGUGGCUAAGGCAACAAUGUGCCGGCGCCGGUGAUGAUGAUAAUGAUAAUGAGGAAGACGAUGACGAUUUUAAGAAUAUUUAAAAAAAAUAUAGGUGAAAAUAAUAAAGAUAUUACUAAAAAAAUAUAUGUUUUAUAUUUGAGAAAUAUAUAGGUGAAAAUGAGAAAAUACUAAAAUAAGAUAUGCUAAAAAUAUAUUUAGAUGGAAUCGCGAAGAUAGCGAAAACGAUAAUGUACCGGCAACAGUGAUGAUGACGACGAUGCGGAGGACGACCACGAUAUACCUGUCGACAACGAAGACAAAUAAAAAAUAAUAUUAUUAAAAAUAUAUUUAAAAAUAUUUGAGAAAAAUAUAGGUGAAAAUAAAAAUAAUAUAUUACUAAAAAAAUAUAUGCUACCAAAAGAUAUGCUACCAAAAAAAGAUAUACUCUAUAUAUAAUGUGGUAAGUAUUAUGAUGAGAUAAGAUUGAAUACUGUAGAUAUAGGUGAAAAUAAAAAAAAAAUAUUGCUAAAAAAAUAUAUACUUUAUAUUUGAAAAUAUAGAGGAAAAAAUGAGAAAAUACUAAAAUAAGAUACGCUAAAACAGUAAAAAGGCAAAUUAAAAAAUAGAGAAAUAUUUAGAUGGGAUCAAAAAAACCUCUCCAAUUAUAGCGAAAGUAACAAAGGCGAUAAUGUGCAGGCGCAAUAAUGUGCAGGCGACAGUAAAGAUGAUGACGAUGAGGAGGACGAUCAUGAUGUACCUGCCGACAACGGAGACAAAUGAGAAAGAAUAUUAUUUAAAAAAAUAUUUAAAAAUAUUUGAGAAAAAUAUAAGUGAAAAUAAAAAGAAAUAUUACUAAAAAUAUAUAUAUACUUUAUAUUUUAGAAAUAUAUAGGUGAAAAUGAGAAAAUACCAAAAGAUAUACUACUAAAAAAAGAUAUGCUCUACAUAUUGUGUGAUAAGUAUUAUGAUGAGAUAAAAUUAGAUACUGUGAUAUUAUACGUGAAAAUAUUAAGAUAUGCUCAAUACUUAAAAAAUAUGUAAAAUAUUUUGACAGGUAUUAUGUGAUAAGUAUUAUGAUGAGAUAAGAUUAUAUAUUAUAAAUAUUAUAUGUGAGGGUAUUAAGAAAUGCUCUAUACUUGAGAAACGCGUAAAAUAGUUUAGCGGGUAUUACUUAAAUAUUGAAUAUUUUGCUAAAAAUAUUUAAAAUUAUAUUUAAUUAACGAUUUAGUUUUGAUUGGGCGGAUAUUAAAAUUUUUUUAGCAAUAUGUAACGUUUUUAUGACGUGCCAAAUUUUAAUACUCGUUAAAAUUGAAUCUAUCAUCUCACGUAAGAAAAUCUACUAUCAUGAAUUAAAAUUUAAAUUAUCAAAUUUGCGAAUAUUAAAUUUUGGCCGACAUUAUAAAUUUAAAAUUUAAUUUUGAGUAUUACGUAAUUGGCGAGUAUUAUGUUUGAGAAAAAAAAUAUUUGAGAAAACGCGUGUAUAUGAGAUAAAUUUAAUUGUACAUAUUAUGUGAUUGUCGAAUAUUACGUUAAAUAGAAGGUAAAUUUAAUUUUAUGUAUUAUAUGAUUGGCGGGUAUUACAUUAUAUUUAUCAAAUUUGCGAGUAUUAAAUUUUGGCGGAUAUUACAAAUUUAAAAUUUAAUUUUGAGUAUUACGUGAUUGAAAUAUUUAAGAAAACGCGUGGAUAUGAGAUAAAUUUAAUUAUACAUAUUACGCGAUUGACGGAUAUUACGUUAAAUAGAAGAUAAAUUUAAUUUUACGUAUUAUAUGAUUGGUGGGUAUUAUAUUAUAUUUAAGAUAAAUUUAAUUUUACGUAUUACAUGAUUAACAGAUAGGAAAGAAAUAUUUGAGAAACGCGUAGAUAGGAGAUAACGGAUAUGGAGGGUAUUAUUGUCACAAAAAGUGACAGAUACUUUUAUUUUCAAUCGUUAGAUAAGAUCUAAUGGCAAAAAAUUAAUAUCUUUAUUUGAGAAUAAAAAUAUUAUUUAGUGAAUUAUUUAAAAUGAUUGGUUGAAAAUUACUGGACAUGAAAAUAUUAAUAAAAAAAAUAGAGAUAUUUUUGGGAAGAAAAAAAAAAUUUAAAAUUUACGCUUUUAUAAGUAGUAUAUAUAU
rnacentral:lncRNA from 1 species